rnacentral:lncRNA from 1 species
GUAGCGCUCUAGGGCAGAAGGGUAAACUCAGACACAAGGAGGGCUCUUAGAAAUGUGUGAGGAGACUGGUGAUCAGGCAAGGAUAUUAAAGGAAGAGAAUGUGGGGCUGAGAAAAGUUAUCUAUUGCUCAAUUGGACCUCUCCAGUUUCUGUGAGACAAUGUCCUAAUCAUGCAAUGCUGCCAGCACUGGACGCAAUCCAGGGCCACAAGUCUGCACACUCCUUUGCUACUGGUCCUGUAAUGGCAGAACCUUUCAUCUCGCCUUUAUUGUUCACUGUGACCCCUGCAUUAUCUUCAAAAUAAAGAAACACGCCAUCUUUUCUGCGGUAUGACUUUCGUUGUCGAAUAACCACUGCUGGAUGUACCUUUUUUCUGAGCUCUGGUUUGCCUUUCUUGACUGUGGCCAUCACCGUGUCACCCACACCAGCAG